rnacentral:lncRNA from 1 species
UAACGAACCUGGACAAUAUAUAUCAAUACAUCAUCACAGGCAUAUAACUCAACUGUAUAAAAAUCUGGUUCCCAUUCCAUCCAUGGUCAAACCCAUAUCCACAACAGGAUCUAUGACUGUAACUAUACACUAUAUACAACAGAAGGUUUAUAAUACACCAAAAGGGUAUAAACCUCUAUCUACAUUGUACUAUACUAUGGAGCGGCACAGCUAGCAGGCAACCACUAAUCCUGCUCCUCUCUAUACAAUACCUGCCCUGCAAUCAAAAAUAUCAAACUGGGGAGUGAGUAUAUGAAUACUCAGUGAGUGGAGUAGAGAGUACUAUGCACAUGAGACAGAAUAUAAUCAUGGCUCGAGAUGAAAUCUCAAGAUCAAUAACAAGAUGAACAUGAACUC